AAAUGCAUGGAGCAGCGUAAAAAAAUAAAUAUACAAAAUUUAUUGAUAGUGAUUGACAAAAUUAUGAUUGGUCGUUGAUAUUAAAAAUAAAGACAUAUUUGAGUGUACUAUAUACACCCUUAAAAAAAUGAAUGCUGUAUUUUGUUUAAAUAUUUUCAUAUUUAAAUUUCAUAAGAUCAAUUGUUAUCUAAUAUUGUAAUUUGAAAUAUCAUUAUUAUUCAUGUAUUUAAACUUACACUAUGAACGAAAAUUGUGCAAUCACAGAAGCGUUAGGACGAGAUUAUGAUAAAUAUCGUGAUUAAUUAUUAAAUAUUUCAUAUUUGAUUCUGCAUCCGACGACUGACGAGUACUUUAUCCCAAUAUUUAUACCAUAAAAUCAAUAAAAUACCAAAAUGUCAAAAAUAUUUUUAUUACUAUCAAUUUUAUUUCAUAUCGGAAUUUCAGGAAUUUUUGCCGGUGGAUGCGAAGGGAAUUGGUGUCAUCCUCAUCCAGGUUACCCAUGCUGCCCUGGGUAUUUGUGAACAUCUUACUUGUUUCAGGGUACAUGCUAUUAUGGAUCAGGAAGUCAAUAAACUGAUUCCGGCAAAUAUUUGAUGUCAAAAAUGUACAUCUAAAAAAAAAAAUAUCUACCUAUCCCAUUUUUAUUAAUAUUAAUCACCAGUGAUUUUAAUAUAAUAUUACUGCAAAUUAUGUAACAUUAAAAAUUAUAAAAAUACUUCUUAAACAUAAAUAAAAAUUAUUAGUAAAUUUGAAAUAUUAAAUGAUAAAAAAUAGAUUAUUAAUAAAUUUCACUUUGAAAAAUGAUAAAAUCCAUAUCCACUAACGUGUUUUAACGUUUCCAAACCCACUAACGUAUCCUGACAGAAAUAUUUGGAUUAAUAAAAUAGAAGAUAAGCUAACGAAAAAUAUA